rnacentral:rRNA from 1 species
CCCUUAGACGUUCUGGGCCGCACGCGCGCUACACUGGCCGGUGCAACAAGCAUCCGUCCUUGGCCGACAGGCCCGGGCAAUCUUUGAACGCCGGUCGUGAUGGGGAUAGACUUUUGCAAUUUUUGGUCUUCAACGAGGAAUUCCUAGUAAACGCAAGUCGUCAACUUGCAUUGAUUACGUCCCUGCCCUUUGUACACACCGCCCGUCGCACCUACCGAUUGAAUGGUCCGGUGAAGCCUCCGGAUUGGCGCGCACCUCGGUGCCGCCGAGAAGUUGGCUAAACCUUACCAUUUAGAGGAAGGUGAAGUCGUAACA